rnacentral:misc_RNA from 1 species
UAUAAAGAGGGGAAAAGGAGGAGGGAGAAGGAAGGAGUGAGGGUCUCCGGGCCCGACCUCCAACCCUUUUGUGAACCACCUCGUUGCUUCGGGGGCGACCCUGCCGUUCGCGGCGUGGGGCCCCCGGAGCCCAUCAAACCCUGCGUAACCAAGUCGUCGGAGUUUAAACAAAUUAAACAAAACUUUCAACAACGGAUCUCUUGGUUCGGGCAUCGAUGAAGAACGCAGC